ensembl:lncRNA
GAUUUGAUCAAUCAUACUUUUUGGCAAAACGAAGCCAGGUCAAGUCAGAACUCCAAGCCCUAGGAGCCUUCCAGAAAAAAACUCUCUUGAGUACAGUGGAUUUUUCUUCAUGGGACUUCUUCAUGGAAGACUAUACACAGAGACUGAACUUUUAUUUCAAUUUCAAAUUCUUCUGAGCUAAGAUAUGGCAGGUCCUUGCUGAUAGGCUGCCUAAUUGACUUUGACUAGGAAUGCCAAAAUUCCUUAACCCUGGUGCUCCCUUCCCCCGGUCCUCUCCAGUGGAAGGCUGUCCUGGGUCUCAUCCAGGUUUAAUGUCAUCUGUGCCCAUGAAAAGCCCCUGAUUAAGCCAUCUUCAUUAUCGGCGCUGGAUGCAUUUGGAAAUCCUUCCUGCUUGUAAUUUGGACAAAUGGCUCAGUAGCCUUUCUCCACGCCUGCUUUGCGGACAGUGCACCUGAGGGGAGUAUUGAUUUAUUUUCUUCUGUAAAUGAGAAUGAUACCGGCACUUGUUCCUAUAGAUCAGAGGAUGUGGCUUCUUUACCACGGCAGCAGAAACAUCAGGAGCUCAGUAAGUGAAUCCAGUAACUCCAUUACUGGCCAGUAAUUAAAUACCCUACAAAAUGUUUCCUCUUCCUCAAUUUUUUACACCUUCAUGGAGGAUACAAUGGCAGUGAUCACAUGCCAGAGUCUUCAACUGCCUUUUUGCUGCCAUUCCCCUAGGAAUAUUAUUCUCUUGGUGAUGACAGCAGGAGACAUGCAGUCUGAAAUAGCCCAUAAUUGUAAAUUAACUCUCAAGAGUUGGACAAGAAGUGCAGAUUUUUCUUAUCGGGUUCCUGUGUUCCAGGAAACCUUAGACUCUGAGGCUGAUACCUGGCCCUAGCAUCUGUCCAGGUGGCAUGCUGAAGGAAUCACAGACUUUGGGGGCUGAAAAAGACCUCAGUGAUCAUCAUCCCAUUCAUGAAUAGAACCCUACAGACAAUAUUUGACAAGAAGCUGGGGUGCCUCUGUUCAGAGACCUUCAAAGAACCAAAAUACCUACAAGCUCAUGCCCAUGAGAGAAGGGACCGUCUUCUCUAAAGAAUAUGUGUUGGUCUUUGCUGAAAUCUAGAAUAACAUUAUGUAAGAUGAAUGUUUGAUGAAGGAGGAGGAAAACCCAAGAGGGACAGUUGAGCAACAAAGGCUGUCACAGUGCUCUCGUUUCUGCUGGAGAUCUGCUUGUACAACCUUACUUACCUAUAAGCCUGGCUCAUAGCAUAAUCCCUUACCUCUUCCAGCCUUGACUUUGGCUUGACAACUUGACUCAUUCUGUAUCCUGAAUUGCAUUCCCAUUUAUUAUGUCUGAUGCCUGUAUUUCUGAUAUUGCCCUGGACUGUUCCUUUGGUUUGAUCAUCUGAUUUGGGUUUCUUGACCUUAGCCUGUACCCGGAGAAGGCUCAAUAUCAAAUCUUGAUGGGAAGGAAUAAAACAAGAAAAUUCAUCAUUCUGUUCAUCACUUUCCAAGAUUUUGGACCUUGAUGUGAUAUGAAUCUAGAGGCCAUUGAGUCCAAUUCUCCCAUUUUACAGAUGAGGAUAUUGAAGUGAAAUGAUUAAGUGACUUUCCCAUGGUUAUGCAGUCAAUAAAUAUCUAUGGUGAG